GAUGAACGCUGGCGGCGUGCCUAAUACAUGCAAGUCGAGCGAACAGACGAGGAGCUUGCUCCUUUUACGUUAGCGGCGGACGGGUGAGUAACACGUGGAUAACCUACCUAUAAGACUGGGAUAACUUCGGGAAACCGGAGCUAAUACCGGAUAACAUGUUGAACCGCAUGGUUCAACAGUGAAAGACGGUCUUGCUGUCACUUUUAGAUGGAUCCGCGCCGCAUUAGCUAGUUGGUAAGGUAACGGCUUACCAAGGCAACGAUGCGUAGCCGACCUGAGAGGGUGAUCGGCCACACUGGAACUGAGACACGGUCCAGACUCCUACGGGAGGCAGCAGUAGGGAAUCUUCCGCAAUGGGCGAAAGCCUGACGGAGCAACGCAGCGUGAGUGAAGAAGGUCUGCGGAUCGUAAAACUCUGUUAUUAGGGAAGAACAAAUGUGUAAGUAACUAUGCACGUCUUGACGGUACCUAAUCAGAAAGCCACGGCUAACUACGU
rnacentral:rRNA from 1 species